rnacentral:rRNA from 1 species
GUGGGGAAUCUUCCGCAAUGGACGAAAGUCUGACGGAGCAACGCCGCGUGAGUGAUGAAGGUCUUCGGAUUGUAAAGCUCUGUUAAUCGGGACGAAAGAGCCUAGUGUGAAUAAUGCUAGGAAGUGACGGUACCGGAAUAGAAAGCCACGGCUAACUACGUGCCAGCAGCCGCGGUAAUACGUAGGUGGCAAGCGUUGUCCGGAAUUAUUGGACGUAAAGCGCGCGCAGGCGGAUCUGCCAGUCUGUCUUAAAAGUUCGGGGCUUAACCCCGUGAUGGGAUGGAAACUACAGAUCUAGAGUAUCGGAGAGGAAAGUGGAAUUCCUAGUGUAGCGGUGAAAUGCGUAGAUAUUAGGAAGAACACCAGUGGCGAAGGCGACUUUCUGGACGAAAACUGACGCUGAGGCGCGAAAGCCAGGGGAGCGAACGGGAUUAGAUACCCGGGUAGUCC